AGGCAAGAUUUGGUAAAACUGGAUGGCUGCCAAUCAGAUGACUUCCAGCAUAUCCACUUGUUGAACUCUCAGGAUGGAGGACAGUGGAUGGUCCAAAUCGCCUUUCUUCUGACUUUGGAUUAGUCAGGACAUGAUUACUUGAUGAAGAAGGCCAAUCAUGUCCUAUUUUCAAAUGACUACCAUGUCCAAUCUCAUGAAAAUUGGCACUG
rnacentral:misc_RNA from 1 species